CGCUAGUAAUCGCGAAUCAGCAUGUCGCGGUGAAUACGUUCCCGGGUCUUGUACACACCGCCCGUCACACCAUGGGAGUCGGAAAUGCCCGAAGCCAGUGACCCAACCAUAAGGAGGGAGCUGUCGAAGGUGGAGCCGGUGACUGGGGUGAAGUCGUAACAAGGUACC
rnacentral:rRNA from 1 species